rnacentral:rRNA from 1 species
CCUACGGGAGACUGCAGUGAGGAAUAUUGGUCAAUGGACGAGAGUCUGAACCAGCCAAGUAGCGUGAAGGAUGACUGCCCUAUGGGUUGUAAACUUCUUUUAUAUGGGAAUAAAAUGUUCCACGUGUGGGAUUUUGUAUGUACCAUAUGAAUAAGGAUCGGCUAACUCCGUGCCAGCAGCCGCGGUAAUACGGAGGAUCCGAGCGUUAUCCGGAUUUAUUGGGUUUAAAGGGAGCGUAGGUGGAUUGUUAAGUCAGUUGUGAAAGUUUGCGGCUCAACCGUAAAAUUGCAGUUGAAACUGGCAGUCUUGAGUACAGUAGAGGUGGGCGGAAUUCGUGGUGUAGCGGUGAAAUGCUUAGAUAUCACGAAGAACCCCGAUUGCGAAGGCAGUUCACUGGACUGCAACUGACACUGAGGCUCGAAAGUGUGGGUAUCAAACAGGAUUAGAUACCCGAGUAGUC